rnacentral:rRNA from 1 species
AUAUCAAUAAGCGGAGGAAAAGAAACCAACAGGGAUUGCCCUAGUAACGGCGAGUGAAGCGGCAACAGCUCAAAUUUGAAAUCUGGCCCCAGGCCCGAGUUGUACUUUGCAGAGGAUGCUUCUGGCGCGGUGCCUCCCGAGUCCCCUGGAACGGGGCGCCACAGAGGGUGAGAGCCCCGUAUUCGAUCCACAACCAAAGCCGUGCAAGCGUCCUUCGACGAGUCGAGUUGUUUGGGAAUGCAGCUCAAAGCGGGUGGUAAAUUCCAUCUAAAGCUAAAUAUUGGCCAGAGACCGAUAGCGCACAAGUA